GAUGAACGCUGGCGGCGUGCCUAAUACAUGCAAGUCGAGCGAACAGACGAGGAGCUUGCUCCUCUGACGUUAGCGGCGGACGGGUGAGUAACACGUGGAUAACCUACCUAUAAGACUGGGAUAACUUCGGGAAACCGGAGCUAAUACCGGAUAAUAUAUUGAACCGCAUGGUUCAAUAGUGAAAGACGGUUUUGCUGUCACUUAUAGAUGGAUCCGCGCCGCAUUAGCUAGUUGGUAAGGUAACGGCUUACCAAGGCAACGAUGCGUAGCCGACCUGGGAGGGUGGUCGGCCACACUGGAACUGAGACACGGUCCAGACUCCUACGGGAGGCAGCAGUAGGGAAUCUUCCGCAAUGGGCGGAAGCUUGACGGAGCAACGCCGCGUGAGUGAUGAAGGUCUUCGGAGCGUAAAACUCGGUUAUUAGGGAAGAACAAAUGUGUAAGUAACUAUGCACGUCUUGACGGUACCUAAUCAGAAAGCCACGGCUAACUACGUG
rnacentral:rRNA from 1 species